rnacentral:rRNA from 1 species
GUAGGUGGCGAGCGUUAUCCGGAAUGAUUGGGCGUAAAGGGUACGUAGGCGGCCAGAUAAGUCUGGUGUGAAAGGCUGCAGCUCAACUGCAGCACUGCACUGGAAACUGUCCGGCUGGAGUGCAGAGGAGGGCGAUGGAACUCCAUGUGUAGCGGUAAAAUGCGUAGAUAUAUGGAAGAACACCGGUGGCGAAGGCGGUCGCCUGGUCUGCAACUGACGCUGAAGUACGAAAGCGUGGGGAGCAAAUAGGAUUAGAUACCCUAGUAGUCCACGCCGUGAACGAUGAGAACUAGGUGUUGGGGGAAUAACUCAGUGCCGCAGUCAACGCAAUAAGUUCUCCGCCUGGGGAGU